rnacentral:rRNA from 1 species
UGCGUAGGUGGUGGGGUAAGUUUGAUGUGAAAGCUCCGGGCUCAACCCGGAAAUGGCAUUAAAUACUAUUCCGCUAGAGGGUUGGAGGGGGGGACUGGAAUUCUCGGUGUAGCAGUGAAAUGCGUAGAUAUCGAGAGGAACACCAGUGGCGAAGGCGAGUCCCUGGACAACUCCUGACACUCAGGCACGAAAGCUAGGGGAAGCAAACAG